rnacentral:rRNA from 1 species
CAGUGCCGGAGCGAAGGUGUUAAGUGGGCCGCUUGGGGAGUAUGGUCGCAAGGCUGAAACUUAAAGGAAUUGGCGGGGGAGCACCGCAACGGGAGGAGCGUGCGGUUUAAUUGGAUUCAACGCCGGAAAACUCACCGGGAGCGACCUUUGCAUGAGAGUCAACCUGACGAGUUUACUCGAUAGAAGGAGAGGUGGUGCAUGGCCGUCGUCAGCUCGUACCGUAGGGCGUUCACUUAAGUGUGAUAACGAGCGAGACCCCCAUCUUUAAUUGCCAGGUUGUCUUAGCGGACAACGGCACUUUAGAGGGACCGCCAGCGCUAAGCUGGAGGAAGGAGGGGUCGACGGCAGGUCAGUACGCCCCGAAUCUCCCGGGCAACACGCGCGCUACAAAGGGCAGGACAAUGAGAUGCGACCUCGAAAGGGGGAGCCAACCUCGAAACCUGUUCGUAGUUAGGAUUGAGGGCUGUAACUCGCCCUCAUGAAUGUGGAUUCCGUAGUAAUCGCGGGUCAACAGCCCGCGGUGAAUAUGCCCCUGCUCCUUGCACACACCGCCCGU